CUCACUUGUGCUGGAUACAUUUGAAGGCUCUGUAUUUUGAGUGAGUCAUUCUUCGAGACAACACCUAAGAAACAUGGAACAUUUACUCAAUGACAACCUUCUGAAAUAUUUUACUCAAUAUGCCUUAAUGGAGGGUAGCACUAGUGCUCUGUCCAUUGGUGGGCUGAAAAAUCUGCUCCAGAAUCAAUUUUCACAGUACUUGAAGGAUUCAUUCUCACUUGACAACGUAAUUAAGUUGUUGGACAAAAAUAAUGAUGGAAGCAUCAGCUUCGACGAGUUUGUGAUGCUAAUAAAAAAGAUCACAGGACAAUAAAGCAUCUGCCAG